rnacentral:snoRNA from 14 species
ACCCUCUGGUUUCUUUUUCCAUAGGACAUCAAGACGGUCUUGGUGGGGAUAAAGGAGGAGGAGCACAGUGAAGUAUGCCUCCCAGCACUGUAGUCUGACAUGGAACAUGUGGGAUUGAAUCAAAGAGGU